CCACCUGAACUCAGUCGUGAUUACCCGCUGAACUUAAGCAAAUCAUUUAGCGGAGGAAAAGAAACUAAAAAGGAUUCCCCUAGUAACGGCGAGUGAAACGGGAAGAGCCCAGCGCCGAAUCGAUCAGUCUUUGGCUGCUUCGAAAUGUGGCGUAUAGGUGUAGUCUUCCAGCAGUGUCGUAUGUCCGAAGUCCUUGCGAUUGAGGCCAUAAACCAGAGAGGGUGCGAGCCCCGUUCUGGAUAGCGGCGCUGUUGGUUCGACUGCUCCUUGGAGUCGGGUUGCUUGAAAGUGCAGCCUAAAGUGGGUGAUAAACUUCAUCUAAGGCUAAAUAUUGACUCGAUUGCGAUAGCGAACAAGUACCGUGAGGGAAAGUUGCAAAGGACUUUGAAGAGAGAGUUCAAGAGAACGUGAAAUCGCUGGAGUGGAACCGGAGACAGUUGAUGUUGCUUGGAGACAAUCUUGGUGGCUGAUCGCUUAGCUGUGAUCGCCGCCGGGAGUCGUUUCCUAUGCUACGCCGACGGCGUUGGCCGCUCGUUCUGGCCCGACAGUGUUGCCCAUCUCGCAAGAGACGGUGUCUUGUUGUCGGUCGUUGGUUCGUGGUGGCUAGCGUUUAGUUACGCUAGUGUGUGUGACGUCGGUGUGAAAGUCGACGACGUUUCCGACCCGUCUUGAAACACGGAUUACGGAGUGUUUGUCUGCUGCGAGUCAAAGGGUGUAAAAACCUUGCGGCGCAAUGAAAGUGAAGGUUAGUCUCGAACUGACCGACGUGGGAUCCGUGCUCUUCGGAGUGCGGCGCACC
rnacentral:ncRNA from 1 species